rnacentral:rRNA from 1 species
GACGACGGCUGGCGGCGUGCUUAACACAUGCAAGUCGAACGGAGUUACGUAUGAAGUAUUUCGGUACGGACUACAUAACUUAGUGGCGAACGGGUGAGUAACACGUGGGCAACCUGCCCUUAACCGGGGGAUAACAUUGUGAAAACAGUGCUAAUACCGCAUAACAGAGUAUCGGGCAUCCGAUAUUUUAAAAGGAGCAAUCCGGUUUAGGAUGGGCCCGCGUCCAAUUAGCUAGUUGGUGAGGUAACGGCUCACCAAGGCUACGAUUGGUAGCCGAACUGAGAGGUUGAUCGGCCACAUUGGGACUGAGACACGGCCCAGACUCCUACGGGAGGCAGCAGUGGGGAAUAUUGCACAAUGGGCGCAAGCCUGAUCCAGCCAUGCCGCGUGAGUGAAGAAGGCCUUCGGGUUGUAAAGCUCUUUCAGCCGGGAAGAAAACGCAUGGGUUAAUACCCUGUGUGGAUGACGGUACCGGAAUAAGAAGCACCGGCUAACUACGUG